GUGAGGAAUAUUGGUCAAUGGUCGGAAGACUGAACCAGCCAUGCCGCGUGCAGGAAGACGGUCCUAUGGAUUGUAAACUGCUUUUAUUCGGGGAUAAACCUCCUUACGUGUAGGGAGCUGAAGGUACCGAAAGAAUAAGCACCGGCUAACUCCGUGCCAGCAGCCGCGGUAAUACGGAGGGUGCAAGCGUUAUCCGGAAUCAUUGGGUUUAAAGGGUCCGCAGGCGGGCUAUCAAGUCAGAGGUGAAAUCCCACAGCUUAACUGUGGAACUGCCUUUGAGACUGAUGGUCUUGAAUUAAGUGGGCGUUGGCGGAAUAUGACAUGUAGCGGUGAAAUGCAUAGAUAUGUCAUGGAACACCGAAAGCGAAGGCAGCUAACGAUACUUAUAUUGACGCUCAUGGACGAAAGCGUGGGUAGCGAACAGGAUUAGAAACCCGUGUAGUCC
rnacentral:rRNA from 1 species